rnacentral:lncRNA from 1 species
AUGGUGAUCUUUUCUAAAAACGAUAGGACAGGUGUGGAGGAGAAUGAAGCAAGAGAAUGGGUUCCUAAGUCUGUGAGCUCAUCUGAAGAUGAUGGGACAGAUGACUGGAUACCCACACAGGAUGAAUCUGAAGGCUAUUCAGAAGAGGAGGAAGAACAAGAACAUAAAAGGAUUCCUAAGAUGGCAGCAGCAUCUGAAGAGGAUGGGACACAUGAUAGCAGACCCACACAGGAUGAUUCAAAGGAUGAAGCAGAACAUUUGGGACAAAUGAUUCACAAAGUGUCCAUGGAAAAGGACAGGGAAACGGCGAUAAGCUUAUUACCAGUACAACACCAAAUUCCAGUUGUUACUCUGAAUUCAGUCACUCUCAAGACACCCAUGGUAAGAACAAUUGAUUACAAAUGUCAACAAAACUGUAAAUCACACUUGAUGAGAUUUUCUUUUACAAUUAAGAUACGUAUGUUUUGA